rnacentral:rRNA from 1 species
UACAGAGGGUGCGAGCGUUGUCCGGAAUCACUGGGCGUAAAGGGCGCGUAGGUGGCGACCCAAGUCCAUGGUGAAAGCUCGAUGCUCAACAUCGAGUCGGCCACGGAUACUGGGUUGCUCGAGCACUGUAGAGGCUAAUGGAAUUCCGGGUGUAGCGGUGGAAUGCGUAGAGAUCCGGAAGAACACCGGUGGCGAAGGCGGUUAGCUGGGCAGGUGCUGACACUGAGGCGCGACAGCGUGGGGAGCAAACAGG